rnacentral:lncRNA from 1 species
AGUAGAAGUUUGAAGUAGACCGCUUGCAGUAGAAGUUCGGAGUAGAUCGAUUGUAGUAGAAGUUCGGAGUAGAUCGCUUGCAGUAGAAGUUUGGAGUAGACUGUGGCCGGGAGAAGUCUGGAAGAGAUUCGGAGAAUAGUCGACCACUGUAGAGAAUCGACUGAAAGUGGAGUUCAGAGAGUGUUUGAAGCAGUCCGGUAGAUGAAUGGAGAAGCUCAUUAUCGGAGAAGUCCGGAUGGUAUUAUAGAAGCUCGGACAGUCGAGGAAGUUCAGAAAGACGCCAUACA